AUACGUCGUGGGAUAUAUAUUUAUUGCGCCUAUUAAAAGUCUGGCACAUAAAGGGAAAAAGUGCUCUAUUCUCAAAAACAGUUAUUUUCGAAAUUAAAAAAAAAUAGAUAUAAAGAACAGAAAACUACCUCCUUUGAGCAAUAAAGUCUUGGGACAAGAGGAGGCUUUCAAAUACAUCGGUGAGUUAAUGAUCGAAAUUAAAUGAGUGCCGAACGCAGCUCUGGAGCCUUCAUCUCCAUCCCACAAGUCAUUAUCCACACCUCAUCUUUCCUCCCCUACUU
rnacentral:lncRNA from 1 species